rnacentral:lncRNA from 1 species
UGUAGUAUUUAACAAGUUACAUAUAUAGGUAGAAAUUCCAACAUACACAUCAAGCAGAAAUAAUGAAAGACUAGAUGUUGCUGUACUAAUGAAGCUCUCUGUGCCGGCCGGAGCAGGAAUAGGUGCCUGGUUGGUGGUGGGACGAGAUAACCAGCAGAAGAGAGGGGACAACAUCGGGGAAAAUGUGAGAGACGGGAGGCGUUCCGCCACCGAUUCGGAGGUACUAGUGCGUUCCGGAUCUAGGAGGAAUAUGCCAUUCCUGAGAACGAGUGAGUUCCGAUUCCUCGACCCAACCAAACAGGAGAACGACCUCUAGGGACGAGAUGGGCCCGUUUCCACCUGGUGACACAAACCAAAUACAUCCCGAGUGGACGAAUUCAACGAUUAGUGAGUUUACAGGCCAGUCCUGUCUCCCUCCACCCCACCAGAUUUGAUUCUCAUGUUUUUUUUCUCGCCUGAUAUUAAUUCUCGGUAUUCUCCCUGCCUAUUUUGUUUCAUUCUUGUUCCCAGUGUUCUUACUUCUACUCCCUCCGUUCAUAAAUAAGUGAUGGAGGGACUAUAUAUGUUCCUUGCUGAUGUAACAGAUUAGUUGGUUUUGAUCAAAAUCAAAUGGGAUUCAUCUAGGUUUGAGAGCCGACGGACGUGGCGGCUGCUGCGGCUGGUGGUGCUCUGUGUGUGCAUGGGGUAGCGCGGUCCUCCUGCUCGUCAAGACACUACAACACAGCAGCGUCGACCUCGGCGGCAAGUGCAGCCACUGGCUGCACUACGGCGUGCAAGAAUUCUGUGUCAACGAGAUAUCAGCGUUCCGCUUCCACCCCCUCGAGUAGGCAAUGAUGAAGGUGAGUGUCGGCUCGGUGGGGUUGGCGGAGGGCGUUUAUUCUACGUGUACCUGAACUGCAGCGACAAGUCUAGAGUUUGGGAGUACAACGACAUGAUGAACAUGAACAUUUGAUAGAUAUAGUGUUAAGAUUGCAUGUUUAUUUGCUGAAUUUGGACAAGCCAUCGUAUGUAAUGCAUCAGCUAUACAUACAUGUGUGUUAUCAAUCAAAGCUAAAAUUCAAUGAAAAGUGUGGCACCCUACCUGACACCGCACAAACUUCCUUUCAGAAGGCGUCACCGGGUGACGCCCCAACCACUAGUCCAUCACAAAUAUGGGGAGGAUAUGAGGGCUCGCGGACGCGCCCGAGCACUCCGCCACAUAGGACGCGGCCCCACCCCAGACCACCUUACCUUUUCUUUAUGCAUUCUUUUAUUUCUCUCUUUUCAUCUCUACCAAUCAUGUGCAAAAUGACCGACGAGGAG